UACAAAAUACUGAAACUUUGCUAACAGCC
rnacentral:piRNA from 1 species